UGUGCCUGUGUUUUUCAUAACUCCAGAUCACUGACCCAUUUAGUAUCUUUAGGAGGAAAGGGAAAGCAAAGCUGAUCGGAAAGCAGACUGGGAAGAGAGAGGCCUUUCAUUCCAGCCCAUGGAGUUGUUUUCUGCUUUUAAUGCUUGCUUACAGCUUCGGUAGGCUCUUCUCAGGAGAGAAGGAGGCUGCAGACCACAGAAACUUCAGAAACUUUGAUUAACUGCACUCAUCAGGACUCUAAAGGUGCAGGUCUCUGUGUGUAAAGGUUACAG